rnacentral:rRNA from 1 species
GACGUAGGGCGCGAGCGUUGUCCGGAUUUAUUGGGCGUAAAGAGCUCGUAGGCGGCUUGUCGCGUCGUCCGUGAAAACCUGCAGCUCAACUGCAGGCUUGCGGUCGAUACGGGCAGGCUAGAGUUCGGUAGGGGAGACUGGAAUUCCUGGUGUAGCGGUGAAAUGCGCAGAUAUCGGGAGGAACACCAGCGGCGAAGGCGGCGACCUGGGUAGAUACUGACGCUGAGGUGCGAAAGCGUGGGGAGCAAACAGG